ensembl:miRNA
UGGUACCGGAAGAGAGGUUUUCUGGGUCUCUGUUUCUUUGAUGAGAAUGAAACACACCCAGCUAACC